AGGGCUACCCUCCACCCAACCAUUGUGUAAAGAAGUUCAUUUAAAGGUAAACCCUGCAAGACCUUGAGAAAAGUUUUGCUACUAUAAUCAUAAAUGAUUACUAGUUCCUGCCUUCUCUGCAGUUAAUCAUGGAUUUCUGGUUUUUCAGUCAGGAUAAAGAAAGUUUAAAUGUCUCCAGGAGCUCUCAGAGACCAGCAGGCUUACCAUAUUUUCCGAGGAGUGCUCUCUCCUAGUCAGGACGUUUCUGAGUGCCACCUUUAAGUACACCCGUUGUUGACCUGAGUGAAAACUAGACGUACGGGUGUUGGAGUAGGAAGUUAAUAGGUAUGUCCAAACCUAUUAUUUCCAAUAAGGCUUUAUGAGGCCUUUCUUCUGAGUUAAGAUAGCUGGGGGCUUGAAUUUGACCAGUAGUAGGAAACGGACUUGCCAUGGUAGCGUGAGACAUCCUGGUUUUUAAAAGAAGACGGAUCAGAGAAUGAAGGCUGGACUCUUUGAAAUACCCAUGCCCUUCCUUCCUG
rnacentral:lncRNA from 1 species